GCCAAUCGGUCAAUAGUCUCACUGUCCAUAAAAUUGUUAGUGCUGCCAAUAUCAAUCAAAACUAUAACAGGCUGAUGUUCCAGAGUUUCGCCAACUUCCAUAGUUUGCGGGUUAGAGUAGUCGGCUAAUGCAUGCAUUGUAUGUAUGGUAGGUCCAACAUCUUCAUUAGAAUUUAUACCUUCAUGAUCGGAGUCCACAUUCUUAGCUUUCGGUUCCUCUCCAAUUGGUUCAAUCAUCAAAAGUUGCCCUUGUUUACAUCGGUGCUCCAUACUCCAUUUUUCAUCAUAAU
rnacentral:lncRNA from 1 species